rnacentral:rRNA from 1 species
GACAGAGGGUGCAAACGUUGUUCGGAAUUACUGGGCGUAAAGCGCGCGUAGGCGGCUACUUAAGUCGGAUGUGAAAGCCCUUGGCUCAACUGAGGAAGUGCACCCGAAACUGAGUGGCUAGAGUACGAAAGAGGGUCGCGGAAUUCCCGGUGUAGAGGUGAAAUUCGUAGAUAUCGGGAGGAACACCGGUGGCGAAGGCGGCGACCUGGGUCGAUACUGACGCUGAUGCGCGAAAGCGUGGGGAGCAAACAGG